AUUGAACGCUGGCGGAAUGCUUUACACAUGCAAGUCGAACGGUAGAGGGGGCAACCCCUUGAGAGUGGCGAACGGGUGAGUAAUAUAUCGGAACGUGCCCAGUCGUGGGGGAUAACGUAGCGAAAGUUACGCUAAUACCGCAUACGAUCUAAGGAUGAAAGCGGGGGAUCGCAAGACCUCGCGCGACUGGAGCGGCCGAUAUCAGAUUAGGUAGUUGGUAGGGUAAAGGCCUACCAAGCCAACGAUCUGUAGCUGGUCUGAGGGGACGACCAGCCACACUGGAACUGAGACACGGUCCAGACUCCUACGGGAGGCAGCAGUGGGGAAUUUUGGACAAUGGGCGAAAGCCUGAUCCAGCCAUUCCGCGUGCAGGAUGAAGGCCCUCGGGUUGUAAACUGCUUUUGUACAGAACGAAAAGGUUUCUAUUAAUACUAGGAGCUCAUGACGGUACUGGAAGAAUAAGCACCGGCUAACUACGUG
rnacentral:rRNA from 1 species